UCCAACCUCGGAAUUUUGAAAAAAUGUUCAUUUUUUUUCCAACCUCGGCAUUUUGAAAAUUUUUUCAAAAUUCCGAGGUUGCAAAAAAAAAUGAAAAUUUUUUCAAAAUUCCGAGGUUGGAAAAAGAAAUGA
rnacentral:miRNA from 1 species